rnacentral:rRNA from 1 species
UACGAAGGGGGCUAGCGUUACUCGGAAUUACUGGGCGUAAAGCGUGCGCAGGCGGUUUUGUAAGCCGGAUGUGAAAUCCCCGGGCUUAACCUGGGAAUGGCAUUCGGGACUGCAAGGCUGGAGUGCGGCAGAGGAGACUGGAAUUCCUGGUGUAGCAGUGAAAUGCGCAGAUAUCAGGAGGAACACCGGCGGCGAAGGCGGCACUCUGGGCCGGUACUGACGCUGAGGAGCGAAAGCGUGGGUAGCAAACAGG